GUAAGACGGAGGAUGCAAGUGUUAUCCGGAAUUAUUGGGCGUAAAGCGUUUGUAGGUGGGUAAACAAGUCGGUCGUUAAAUAUAGGGGCUCAACCUCUACUCAGCGACCUGAAACUGUUUAUCUUGAGGGUGGUAGGGGUAGAAGGAAUUCCUAGUGUAGCGGUGAAAUGCGUAGAUAUUAGGAAGAACACCAACGGCGAAGGCAUUCUGCUGGGCCACACCUGACACUGAGAAACGAAAGCUAGGGGAGCGAAUGGGAUUAGAUACCCCAGUAGUCCUAGCCGUAAACGAUGGAUACUAGAGGAUAUGCGUAUCGACCCGUGUAUUCUCGCAGUUCACACAGUAAGUAUCCCGCCUGGGGAGUACGCUCGCAAGGGUGAAACUCAAAGGAAUUGACGGGGGCCCGCACAAGCGGUGGAGCAUGUGGUUUAAUUUGAUGCAACGCGAAGAACCUUACCAAAACUUGACAUACCAUUUUUAGCUGUCUGAGAAGAUAGCAUUCCCUCGGGACUAUGGAUACAGGUGGUGCAUGGCUGUCGUCAGCUCGUGUCGUGAGAUGUUGGGUUAAGUCCCGCAACGAGCGCAACCCUUGUCCUUUGUUACCCUUAUUACAAGAUAAGGGGUUUCUAAGGAGACUGCCGGUCUUAAACCGGAGGAAGGUGAGGAUGACGUCAAGUCAGCAUGCCCCUUACGUUUUGGGCGACACACGUGCUACAAUGGGUAGAGGACAAAAAGAAGCUAACCUGCGAAGGUACGCAAAUCUUAUAAACC
rnacentral:rRNA from 1 species